rnacentral:rRNA from 1 species
GCUCAGAUUGAACGCUGGCGGCAGGCCUAACACAUGCAAGUCGAGCGGCAGCGGGAAAGUAGCUUGCUACUUUUGCCGGCGAGCGGCGGACGGGUGAGUAAUGCCUGGGGAUCUGCCCAGUCGAGGGGGAUAACAGUUGGAAACGACUGCUAAUACCGCAUACGCCCUACGGGGGAAAGGAGGGGACCUUCGGGCCUUUCGCGAUUGGAUGAACCCAGGUGGGAUUAGCUAGUUGGUGGGGUAAUGGCUCACCAAGGCGACGAUCCCUAGCUGGUCUGAGAGGAUGAUCAGCCACACUGGAACUGAGACACGGUCCAGACUCCUACGGGAGGCAGCAGUGGGGAAUAUUGCACAAUGGGGGAAACCCUGAUGCAGCCAUGCCGCGUGUGUGAAGAAGGCCUUCGGGUUGUAAAGCACUUUCAGCGAGGAGGAAAGGUUGGCGCCUAAUACGUGUCAGCUGUGACGUUACUCGCAGAAGAAGCACCGGCUAA